GACAGAGGAUGCAAGCGUUAUCCGGAAUGAUUGGGCGUAAAGCGUCUGUAGGUGGCUUUUUAAGUCCGCCGUCAAAUCCCAGGGCUCAACCCUGGACAGGCGGUGGAAACUACCAAGCUGGAGUACGGUAGGGGCAGAGGGAAUUUCCGGUGGAGCGGUGAAAUGCGUAGAGAUCGGAAAGACCACCAGGUGGCAGAAGCACUCUACUGGGCCAUUACUGACACUGGAGAGACGAAAGCUAGGGGAGCGAAUGGG
rnacentral:rRNA from 1 species